ACAGUAGUCGCCCGGGUUGCCGCAAGGCCUCCCGGGUAACCUACCACCCUUUGUUUAUUACACUUUGUUGCUUUGGCAAGCCUGCCCUCGGGCUGCUGGCUCCGGCCGGCGAGCGCUUGCCAGAGGACCUAAACUCUGUUUGUCUAUACUGUCUGAGUACUAUAUAAUAGUUAAAACUUUCAACAACGGAUCUCUUGGUUCUGGCAUCGAUGAAGAACGCAGCGAAAUGCGAUAAGUAAUGUGAAUUGCAGAAUUCAGUGAAUCAUCGAAUCUUUGAACGCACAUUGCGCCCCCUGGUAUUCCGGGGGGCAUGCCUGUCCGAGCGUCAUUACAACCCUCAAGCUCAGCUUGGUGUUGGGCCCCGCCGCCCCGGCGGGCCCUAAAGUCGGUGGCGGUGCCGUCCGGCUCCGAGCGUAGUAAUUCUUCUCGCUCUGGAGGUCCGGUCGUGUGCUCGCCAGCAACCCCCAAUUUUUUUCAGGUUGACCUCGGAUCAGGUAGGGAUACCCGCUGAACUUAA
rnacentral:rRNA from 1 species